rnacentral:rRNA from 1 species
CAAUAGCGUAUAUUAAAGUUGUUGCGGUUAAAAAGCUCGUAGUUGGAGUUCUGCCAGGUGCCGCCUGUCCGCCCCAGUGGUGAGUACGUGGCGCGCAUUUGGCCCUUUCAAGGGGAGCGUAUCUGCACUUUAUUGUGUGGUGCGGGAUCCUUGACUUUUACUUUGAGGAAAUAGGAGUGUUCCAAGCAGGCUCUCGUCGUGCACAGCUCAGCAUGGAAUAAUAGCAUUGGACCUCGAUUCUAAGCUGUUGGUUGCCAGAAGCGAGGUAAUGAUGAAGAGGGGUAGUUGGGGGCGGAUUCGUUAUUUAACUUAGUCAGAGGUGGAAAUUACUUUGGAUUUGUUUAAAGUAACGGACUACUGCGAAAGACAUCUGCCAUGGAUGUUUUCUAUUGAUCAAGAACGAAAGUUAAGGG